rnacentral:rRNA from 1 species
UACAGAGGUCCCAAGCGUUGUUCGGAUUCAUUGGGCGUAAAGGGUGCGUAGGUGGCGGGGUAAGUCUGGUGUGAAAGCUCCGAGCUCAACUCGGAAAAGCAUUGGAAACUAUCCCGCUAGAGGGUCGGAGGGGAGACUGGAAUUCUCGGUGUAGCAGUGAAAUGCGUAGAUAUCGAGAGGAACACCAGUGGCGAAGGCGAGUCUCUGGACGACUCCUGACACUGAGGCACGAAAAGCUAGGGGGAGCAAACAGG